CCUACGGGAGGCAGCAGUGAGGAAUAUUGGUCAAUGGGCGGGAGCCUGAACCAGCCAAGUCGCGUGAGGGAAGACGGUCCUAGGGAUUGUAAACCUCUUUAGGCGGGGAGCAAUGCCGGGCACGCGUGCCCGGAGGCAGAGUACCCUCCGAAUAAGCAUCCGCUAACUCCGGGCCAGCAGCCGCGGUAAUACGGUGGAUUCGAGGGUUAUCCGGCUUUGUUGGGUUUAAAAGGUUGGUGGGCGGAUUGUUAAGUCAGCGGUAAAAUGGCGGGGUUAAACCCGGGACGGCCGUUGAAACUGGGGAGCUUGAGUGGGCGAGAAGUAUGCGGAAUGCGUGGUGUAGCGGUGAAAUGCAUAGAUAUCACGAAGAACUCCGAUUGCGAAGGCAGCAUACCGGAGCCCGACUGACGCUGAGGCACGAAAGCGUGGGGAUCGAACAGGAUUAGAUACCCGAGUAGUC
rnacentral:rRNA from 1 species